UGGGACUUCGACGAAUCGACGGGAAGCGAGGGGGCGGGGUUGAAAGUCUGGGAGUGGUCGUCAUCCGCGCUCAAAUGCACGCUUACGUCAACACGCCACAAAAAAGACGAGAAAACUAUCGGAUUAAGAAUGAUGUAGUAUUUAAAAUUCGACGUAUUUAUACUUUACGUCCAGUAUGUGCAAAAAAGUACAGUGCACAAUAAUGGCUAAUAUGUGAACUACAGAGUUUGUGGUACGUUGGAUAACUCGUUGCUGCAAAAACGUUAACUGUUGCUUUGAGAAACAAAUAUCAAAUGUGAAUUUGAAUUCCCCCCCGCACAAAUAUUUAGUUGAGCUCAUGUCACAACUCCAGUACGACGGAACAUCUCUGUGGCGCCAACAGGUGUCGCUCAAAUAUUAGAUCAUCAAGAAACAGAAAAAGACACCAGCGAGAUUGUGACGUAUUACACGGCCGACGUUGACGCUCUGCUCAGCCAAAACGUGAAAACUGCUGACACUUUUUUCUUUCAAAUUGCAAUAAUCACUGCGCAAAACCUUUUUUUUUUUUUUGACGCAAAACAUAAAAAAAAUAUUUACAUGCCACCAUAUACAAACAUAUAAAAAAAUAUUUCCAUGGCCGCCGAUGAGAAAGUCGGCGCGGGCGUGCGAGGCCGACGACGCCCGGUGUUGGGGACGCCCGCGCACUGCCGUGAAGUUGGCGUGUUGGUGAGCAGCGCCGUGCAGCGGGGACGUCGGACGACUUCAUGGGGAAAGGGUUGUGACGCCCCUGAGUCGGUGAGGCAUCUCUUGUGGGAGUGCAGUUCUGCCGUAGACCUGCGGGCGACAGCCGGCCACCUACAAUUCCGGACACACCGGCAAGGGGUGUCCUAAACGAGGAAUUUGUGCUCUCUGGGGUGAGCCAGUCGAGGUUUGCAAAGGAAGAGAUUGAGAUAAGAACAGAUUUUCUUUCUUUUAUACACUUUUAUUGUCUUAACAAGACUUUACAUUACAAUCAUCCAAAAAUAGAAAACACUUUUUACAUUUACAUUCGUUCAUGAUUUACAUAAACAUGAAGACUGUCUAGGCUUUAAAAGAAUCAAUAAGGCAAUAAAUAUGGCACGAAAAAGGCUCAAUUUUUUUCCACUGUGCAGACACGGAAUGAUCCCUAACGGAGUGAAACUCACCCCACACUCCCAAACAGCAGGCUCAGGGAACCUGUCACGUAUCCCAGCGACGGUCGCCGACGUUUUUCUCCUCUUUUACUCCUUCCUCUCCCAUAUCAUCAGGCAGCUCCUCCGGGUGAGCCAUGGAUGACUCUACUUUGUGCCUGUGGUGUUGUUCAGGGGAUGUAGCUCAGUGGUAGAGCGCGUGCUUCGCAUGUAUGAAGUCCUGGGUUCAAUCCCCAGCAUCUCCAUUCAGUCUUGUGAGUUUUUUUUUAAGCAUCACUAUUUUUCUUCUUUCCUUGCUUUUCUGAACUGUCUUCUCAUGCACCAUUCCUGGAGAUACUGCAAUACCAGGUUGAUGCUUGAAGUGGCUGGAGCAAGACCCACAUCCAUCUCCCAGUUCAAAAAUCAAUAUAACAUAUGGUUCCCAGAAAAGGAACGCGUGAAAUAUUAACUCCACUUGACCUUAGCCAAAAGGCCGAGAAGCGAUGUCAACUUGCCGCCGGCAUAUACGACCCGAUUGUCCAGCCGACAAGCCAAAGCUUUGGUGCCCCACAAAUUGACUCAUGACAAUCACUUGUGACUCACAUAUGACACGUCUUGCAAACAUCAAUCGAUCAACGGUUUACAAGAAAUGGCAACUGUGUCGUUUUCAACAUAUGAAGUGAUGGAUGGAUUGGUACUUUGUCAAGACGAAACAAAAGCACUUAUGGUUGCUUUCUCAGAGUUGUCAUUGACAUCAUUAGUGGGGGUGCACUUUUCCUGGAGGUACUGCAAUACCAGGCCGAUCCGUGGAGUAUUCCAUCUCCCUGUUCCAAAAAUCCAUAUAAUAUAUGGUCCCCGGAUAGGGGACGUAUCAGAUAUUAAACUGAUAAGAACAUGGUUUUUUGUUUUGUCCACUUUUAUUGUCUAAACAAGACUUUACAUUACAAACAUUUAAAAAGAGAAAAAACUUUUUACAUUUCAUUCAUAAUUUACA